rnacentral:rRNA from 1 species
GUCGAACGGUGAAGCCCAGCUUGCUGGGUGGAUCAGUGGCGAACGGGUGAGUAACACGUGAGCAAUCUGCCCCUGACUCUGGGAUAAGCGCUGGAAACGGCGUCUAAUACUGGAUACGAACCGUGGAGGCAUCUUCAACGGUUGGAAAGAUUUUUUGGUCAGGGAUGAGCUCGCGGCCUAUCAGCUUGUUGGUGAGGUAAUGGCUCACCAAGGCGUCGACGGGUAGCCGGCCUGAGAGGGUGACCGGCCACACUGGGACUGAGACACGGCCCAGACUCCUACGGGAGGCAGCAGUGGGGAAUAUUGCACAAUGGGCGAAAGCCUGAUGCAGCAACGCCGCGUGAGGGAUGACGGCCUUCGGGUUGUAAACCUCUUUUAGCAGGGAAGAAGCGAAAGUGACGGUACCUGCAGAAAAAGCGCCGGCUAACUACGUGCCAGCAGCCGCGGUAAUACGUAGGGCGCAAGCGUUAUCCGGAAUUAUUGGGCGUAAAGAGCUCGUAGGCGGUUUGUCGCGUCUGCUGUGAAAUCCCGAGGCUCAACUUCGGGUCUGCAGUGGGUACGGGCAGACUAGAGUGCGGUAGGGGAGAUUGGAAUUCCUGGUGUAGCGGUGGAAUGCGCAGAUAUCAGGAGGAACACCGAUGGCGAAGGCAGAUCUCUGGGCCGUAACUGACGCUGAGGAGCGAAAGGGUGGGGAGCAAACAGGCUUAGAUACCCUGGUAGUCCACCCCGUAAACGUUGGGAACUAGUUGUGGGGUCCAUUCCACGGAUUCCGUGACGCAGCUAACGCAUUAAGUUCCCCGCCUGGGGAGUACGGCCGCAAGGCUAAAACUCAAAGGAAUUGACGGGGACCCGCACAAGCGGCGGAGCAUGCGGAUUAAUUCGAUGCAACGCGAAGAACCUUACCAAGGCUUGACAUAUACGAGAACGCUGCAGAAAUGUAGAACUCUUUGGACACUCGUAAACAGGUGGUGCAUGGUUGUCGUCAGCUCGUGUCGUGAGAUGUUGGGUUAAGUCCCGCAACGAGCGCAACCCUCGUUCUAUGUUGCCAGCACGUAAUGGUGGGAACUCAUGGGAUACUGCCGGGGUCAACUCGGAGGAAGGUGGGGAUGACGUCAAAUCAUCAUGCCCCUUAUGUCUUGGGCUUCACGCAUGCUACAAUGGCCGGUACAAAGGGCUGCAAUACCGUGAGGUGGAGCGAAUCCCAAAAAGCCGGUCCCAGUUCGGAUUGAGGUCUGCAACUCGACCUCAUGAAGUCGGAGUCGCUAGUAAUCGCAGAUCAGCAACGCUGCGGUGAAUACGUUCCCGGGUCUUGUACACACCGCCCGUCAAGUCAUGAAAGUCGGUAACACCUGAAGCCGGUGGCCCAACCCUUGUGGA